rnacentral:rRNA from 1 species
GAAUUUGCAGCUUACUGUAAAGUGCCGAUGAUACUGUGAGGCCUAGAAUUAGGUCGCUGUGGGCGGAAUGUGUGGUGUAGCGGUGAAAUGCUUAGAGAUCACACAGAAUAUCGAUUGCGAAGGCAGCUCACAAAGCCAAGAUUGACGCUGAGGCACGAAAGUGUGGGGAUCAAACAGGAUUAGAUAUCGUGGUAGUCCACACUGUAAACGAUGAUAACUCGCUGUCGGCGAUAUACAGUCGGUGGCCAAGCGAAAGCGAUAAGUUAUCCACCUGGGGAGUACGACCGCAAGGUUGAAACUCAAAGGAAUUGACGGGGGCCCGCACAAGCGGAGGAACAUGUGGUUUAAUUCGAUGAUACGCGAGGAACCUUACCCGGGCUCGAACGGUGCAGGAAUAUGGUAGAGAUAUCAUAGCUAGCAAUAGUCUGUAUCGAGGUGCUGCAUGGUUGUCGUCAGCUCGUGCCGUGAGGUGUCGGCUUAAGUGCCAUAACGAGCGCAACCCUUGUCAUUAGUUACCAUCAGGUCAAGCUGGGGACUCUAAUGAGACUGCCACCGUAAGGUGAGAGGAAGGGGGGGAUGACGUCAAAUCAGCACGGCCCUUAUGUCCGGGGCGACACACGUGUUACAAUGGGGGGUACAGAGGGCAGCCAUCCGGCGACGGAGCGCCAAUCUCAAAAACCCUUCUCAGUUCGGAUUGGAGUCUGCAACCCGACUCCAUGAAGUUGGAUUCGCUAGUAAUCGCGCAUCAGCCAUGGCGCGGUGAAUACGUUCCCGGGCCUUGUACACACCGCCCGUCAAGCCAUGGAAGCUUGGGGUGCCUGAAGUUCGUGACCGCAAGGAGCGACCUAG